rnacentral:rRNA from 1 species
UACGAAGGGGCUAGCGUUGCUCGGAAUCACUGGGCGUAAAGGUGCGUAGGCGGGUCUUUAAGUCAGGGGUGAAAUCCUGGAGCUCAACUCCAGAACUGCCUUGAUACUGAAGAUCUUGAGUUCGGGAGAGGUGAGUGGAACUGCGAGUGUAGAGGUGAAAUUCGUAGAUAUUCGCAAGAACACCAGUGGCGAAGGCGGCUCACUGGCCCGAUACUGACGCUGAGGCACGAAAGCGUGGG